rnacentral:lncRNA from 1 species
GAUGACGAACCCUAGUUUCUCAGAUUGAGGGAUUAUCAAGUUUCAUUUGUGAGAUUCGAGAGAGAGGGAAUUCGACAGAGGCUUACAGAGUCCUUUAGUGUUUCGUGUAUCCUGUGUCAAAAUUUCAAAACGAAAAGUCAAGGAAUCAUGAGGCAAACAGAAAGAAGAGGGUGAAAGAGUUGUCUGCAAUUGCAGGAUUAGCCUAUUUUGAUGUUGUUAUUUAGGAUUAUCUCAGCUUAAGGUCAUUAGAACCUUAUUUUGGUGUGUCAUUUUGUCUCGGCUAAAGGUCACUAGAGCCUUCUUUAGGUGUUUCAUUUUGUUAUUAAGACUUAUGUAUGUUAUGAACUGUGUCUUCGCUUCUCUCCUGCAAUUGAAAGCUUUGGACAGGUUUGGU